UCAGUCGGACGCAGCAGCAGCAGUCUUCUGAGGAUCUAUAUUAGUAACCCUUAUAUUCGUCUGUUGUGUUGUUUAAUAUAUGUUUUAAAUUGAAUUUAGCGCUUUUUUGUUAUUUACAUUUAACCCAUCCACGCGUCAUCGCUCAGUCUCGGUCAGCUGCGAGUCUUUUGAGGAGAGGUUCAACCGGAUCACUUCAACCUACCAUGGAGUUUGAGAACAGCAAAGAAGGAUGUAAAUGCCAAAAGGAUUGCAGUAAAUGCCAAUGUCAUUGUCAUACAAUAACUAUCAGUCCUAAACCUAAACAACUGAUUGUGGAGGAGAAGACACCUGAGGCGCCUGAAAUGCCUUUGAAAGAGCGCGCCCCCUGGUAUUGCUUCCCUUGUGAUUCUGGCCACAGUGAUUAUGGUCCUGGUGAUUCUGGCUCCUGUGAUUCUGGCUCAUGUGAUUGUGGAUCCUGUGAUUGUGGCUCCUGUGAUUGUGGCUCCUGUGAUUCUGGCUCAUGUGAUUGUGGAUCCUGUGAUUGUGGAUCCUGUGAUUGUGGUUCCUGUGAUUGUCAGUGUAUGUUCUGACAGGCUACGCAUACAUCCUAGGUCAUCUGCCCGGAAUGACUUCUGCGUGCUACAGCUCUACAGAAAAGUGGUUAUAAUGUUUUAAAUAUGGAUAUGAUUCUUACAAAAUGCAUGGAUUCACUACAGAAGGCCUUUAUUAACCCCCCGGAGCCGUGUGAGGCACUUUUUAUUAUGGAUGGAUGCACUUUAUUGGACUUCUUUUGGACUGUUGAACAGAUACUCCCGCCCACUGCCAUUAUAAAGCUUAGAAGAGGCAGGACAAUUUUUAAUAUAACUCUGAUUGGAUUUGUCUGAAAGAAGAAAGUCAUAUACACCUAGGAUGGCUUGAGGAUCAGUGCUGGCCAGUGCAGCAGUCAAACAGAUGAUCAGUGUGUCUGAGAGAGACACACAUGUUCCCAGCAGGCCCUGGACUGGAUGAACCGCACACAUUUCCUCAAAAACCCUGUGAGGAGUGCCUCUUAUUUUCACUCUCUAUUUCACAUGUUACUGUAUCUUUCAAUAGUAAGGGAGUCAGUAUACUUAUUGUAUUUUGGUGUAAAUUACUACUUAUUAUCUACUACUGUGUAAGCAGAUGUAUCUUAAAAUAUAUGAUGAAGUAUCUAUUCUUAACACCGGAAGACUAGAGACUGUGCUGCUGAAGCUGAGAAGACUGGAUGGACAAGCAGCUCAGUGUUCAUUAUCUACUGGAAUGCACAGACUUUUACACUGCUUCUGAGAAACUGGCUACAGUACUAGUUAGUGUGACCAAUAUUGGUCCAUUAAGAUGGAAAAUAGGAAGAGAUCUGCUAACCGACACACCUUUAGCUCUGUGUGGAAGCUGUAAUCUGUAUAUACACCCAUUCACAUCCUUCUCUUCACUCUCUGACGCAUAAGUCUCCAAACUCAUCCUUUCUAUUCAAUCUACUACUUGUCCGCUAGAUCCUAUUCCAUCUCAUCUCCUUCAAGCCAUUUCUCCUGCAGUUGUACCUACACUCGCUCACAUCAUUAACAUAUCCCUCCACACUGGUGUUUUUCCUUCAUCAUUUAGACAGGCUUGUAUAACUCCACUACUUAAGAAACCCACCCUCAACCCAUCUCUUUUAGAGAACUACAGACCAGUUCCCCUUCUUCCUUUCAUUGCAAAAACACUUGAACAAGCUGUGUUCAACCAAGUCUCUGUCUUUCUCACACACAACAACCUCCUUGACAUCAACCAAUCUGGCUUUAAAAGUGGACAUUCAACUCAGACUGCCUUCCUCUCAGUUGCUGAAGCCCUAAGACUUGCAAGAGUGGAAUACAAAUCUUCAAUACUUAUCUUGCUUGAUUGCAAUAUCUAACUUCUGGGGUGCCUCAGGGCUCAGUUCUUGGACCACUUAUCUUCUCUGUCUACAUGGCAUCAUAAGGUCCUGUCAUUCAGAAACAUGGCUUUUCAUACCACUGCUAUGCUGAUGACACUCAACUCUACCUCUCAUUCCAUCGUGAUGAUCUGACAGUAACUGCUCGCAUCUCAGCUUGUCUAACAGACAUUUCUUACUGGAUGAAGGAACAUAACCUUCAACUCAACCUUGCCAAGACAGAACUUCUUGUGGUUCCAGCAAACCCAUCGUUUCAUCACAAUUUUACCAUCAUAUUAGGCACAUCAACCAUAACUCCUAUAAAAAACAACCAGAACCUUGGAGUUAUGAUUGAUUUUCUCAGACCACAUUGCUAAAACUGUCCGAUCCUGCACAUUUGCUUUAUUCAACAUCAAGAAGAUCAAGCUCUUUCUUUCAGAACAUGCUGCAAAACUCUGUGUUCAAGCUCUUGUUCUGUCCAGGCUGGAAAAUUGUAAUGCCCUCUUGGCAGGUCUUCCAGCCAAUUCUAUCAAACCUUUACAAUUAAUCCAGAAUGCAGCAGCAAGAUACAUUUUUUAUGAGCUGAAAAGAGUACAUGUCACACCUCUGUUUAUCAAUCUGCACUGGCUACCAAUAGCUGCUCGCAUAAAAUUCAAGGCAUUAAUGAUUGCCUCCAAAACCACCACUAGCUCUGCACCCAUUUACCUAAAUCCAUUACUUCAGACUUAUGUGCCCUAUAGAAGAUUGUGUUCUGCAAGUGAACGUUGCAUGAUUGUGCCAUCCCGAAGAAGCACAAAGUCACUUUUAAAUUUUAAAUAAAAUAUUCUCUUCUGGUGGAAUGACCUCCCCAACUAAAUCCAAGCAUCUGAGUCCUUAGCCAUCUUCAAGAAUCGGCUUAAAACUCAUCUCUUUAUUUGACCCUCUAACUUUAGCACUCACUAUUCUUAUUCUAUUCUUUAAAAAAAAAGUCUAACUAGCUUUCUACUAUUUUUGUAUUCAAUCUGUUUUCUUUUUAUUUAUUAUACAAAAAAAAAAAAAAUAUAUAUAUAUAUAUAUAUAUAACUUUUAACACUAACUUGCACAAUUCUUUCUCUAUUCUAUGUUUUAAUUUUAUUUAUUAUAUUAUUUAAAAGCCCUUGCUACGUGUACUGCGUUUUAGGCUAACUGAGACUUUUGUAUUUUUUGAUUGCUUCUAUUGUCCUCGCUUUGGAUAAAAGCAUCUGCUAAUGAGCAAAACGUAAAUGUAUAUCAACUAUAUCAUUAACAUAAUUUUGUAACCAUAACUGUUAUUAAAGCAUUAAACGCUAGUCUUGAUUCAUCAUUAAAAUUGAAGUGCUGCCUGCAAUAAUACAUUAGUCACUCAAUAGCUAUGCUCUCCCACUAAUACAGAGUUUGCUGUUCAUCCUCCCUUAUGUAUCUUAUUAAUUGUGUAUCUGAUCAAUAAAGUUUGAAGAAAGAGCAGAUGUGAA